GCUGCUAAAGGGUAUUCUGGUCAUUUCAUACUGCUCCUAAAUUUGGCUGAAAGCUAACGCGUGUGAUCAAUAUGACAGCUGCCGCAUUACUGAUUUAUCUGCGGUACUUCAGUAUGACAGAUAGGUCACUCUCUAUCUCUAUCGGUUCAUCUUCUUUGUUUUUCUCUAUCUGAUUUGUAUCUUUCACAGAAGAAUUAAAUAGGUAAUUUCAAAGUGCAGAAUUAAAUUUGCUAUGUUUUUUUCUCUCUUCGCUCAGAAUUCCACAACCUUCUUCUUCGCUGUAAGAAAUAAUUGGUGUUUGGCUUGGAUUUUUGUAGUUCCUUAGUUGCUAAAUUGACAUAAUCACAUGGUUGACAGUCACUGCUGAUCUUCGCUCAGAAUUCCUUUGGCUUCUGCUUCUUUCGUUGUAACAAAAAAUUAGGGUUUUGUUUGGGGUUUUGCAGUUCAGUAGUUGCUCAAUUGACAUAAUCUUAUGGCUGAAAGCGACUUUGCUAUUCUGGAGAUCAUCCAUUAAUUGAAGUUCUCUGCACCUUCCUAUUCAAUAUGGAUUUUCCCAAUAAGGAAAACUAACAAAUACAGAGGAUGACAAUUGGUUGUCCAUUGAGUUGAGAUUAUGGGUUCAAAAUUUUAAUAUCAGUUGAAAUUUUGGUGGUACUUUGGGCCACGCAUAGGGGUUUAAACCAGCAAUGUUCAAUGUACUGAUAUGUAAACUUUCUUUAUGGAUAAUCUAAAAAUUAAGUCUUUCUUAUGUAUAAGAGGAAAGGAUAUUGAUAUGCUUCCUCUGAGAUUUCUCUAACAAGCGAAGUUUUGUUUAGUUUAUGAAAAGAGUAGUGAGAAAACUGAGAUUU